UACGGAGGGUGCGAGCGUUGUUCGGAAUUACUGGGCGUAAAGCGCACGUAGGCGGCUUUUUAAGUCAGGGGUGAAAUCCCGGGGCUCAACCCCGGAACUGCCCUUGAAACUGGAGAGCUAGAAUCUUGGAGAGGCGAGUGGAAUUCCGAGUGUAGAGGUGAAAUUCGUAGAUAUUCGGAAGAACACCAGUGGCGAAGGCGACUCGCUGGACAAGUAUUGACGCUGAGGUGCGAAAGCGUGGGGAGCAAACAGG
rnacentral:rRNA from 1 species